UACGUAGGGGGCUAGCGUUGUCCGGAUUUAUUGGGCGUAAAGAGCUCGUAGGCGGCUUGUCACGUCGAUUGUGAAAGCCCGAGGCUUAACCUCGGGUCUGCAGUCGAUACGGGCUAGCUAGAGUGUGGUAGGGGAGAUCGGAAUUCCUGGUGUAGCGGUGAAAUGCGCAGAUAUCAGGAGGAACACCGGUGGCGAAGGCGGAUCUCUGGGCCAUUACUGACGCUGAGGAGCGAAAGCGUGGGGAGCGAACAGG
rnacentral:rRNA from 1 species